rnacentral:rRNA from 1 species
UGAACGCUGGCGGCGUGCUUAACACAUGCAAGUCGAACGGUAACAGAAGCAGCUUGCUGCUUGCUGACGAGUGGCGCACGGGUGAGUAAUAUAUAGAUAACGUGCCUCUUAGUCUGGGAUAGCCAUUGGAAACGAUGAUUAAUACUGGAUACUCCUUCUAACUCUAAUGUUAGUCGGGAAAGUUUUUCGCUAAGAGAUCGGUCUAUAUCCCAUCAGCUUGUUGGUGAGGUAAGAGCUCACCAAGGCAAUGACGGGUAGCGGGUUUGAGAGGAUGAUCCGCCACACUGGUACUGAGACACGGACCAGACUCCUACGGGAGGCAGCAGUGAGGAAUAUUGCACAAUGGGGGAAACCCUGAUGCAGCAACGCCGCGUGGAGGAUGACGCAUUUCGGUGUGUAAACUCCUUUUAUAUGUCAAGAAAAUGACGGUAGCAUAUGAAUAAGCACCGGCUAACUCC